AAUAUUGCACAAUGGGGGAAACCCUGAUGCAGCGACGCCGCGUGAGCGAGGAAGGCCUNCGGGUCNUNAAGCUCCGUCUUAAGGGNAGAAAGGGACGGUAUCCUAGGAGGAAGCCCCGGCUAACUAUGUGCCAGCAGCCGCGGUAAUACGUAGGGGGCGAGCGUUAUCCGGAAUUAUUGGGCGUAAAGGGUGCGUAGGCGGCCUUUUAAGUCAGAUGUGAAAGGCUACGGCUUAACCGUAGUUAGCAUUUGAAACUAAAAGGCUUGAGUGCAGGAGAGGAGAGUGGAAUUCCUAGUGUAGCGGUGAAAUGCGUAGAUAUUAGGAGGAACACCAGUGGCGAAGGCGACUCUCUGGACUGCAACUGACGCUGAGGCACGAAAGCGUGGGGAGCGAACAG
rnacentral:rRNA from 1 species